rnacentral:rRNA from 1 species
UACGUAGGGUGCGAGCGUUGUCCGGAUUUACUGGGCGUAAAGCGUGCGCAGGCGGUUCGCCAAGUCAGGUGUGAAAUCCCCGGGCUUAACCUGGGAAUUGCGCUUGAAACUAGCGGGCUUGAGUGUGGCAGAGGGGGGUGGAAUUCCACGUGUAGCAGUGAAAUGCGUAGAGAUGUGGAGGAACACCGAUGGCGAAGGCAGCCCCCUGGGUCAACACUGACGCUCAUGCACGAAAGCGUGGGGAGCAAACAGG